AUCUAUGGCCAUGCUACAUUGAGCAAGCCCAAUCCUGUCUGAUCUUGGAAGCUAAGCUGGGUCAGGCCUGUUUAGUACUUGGAUGGGAGGCCACCUAGGAAGACCAAGUGCUGUAGGCA
rnacentral:rRNA from 1 species